rnacentral:lncRNA from 1 species
CGAUUAAUCUCAGAGAUAACCCCGAGAUAUCCAGUCUCAGUCUCAACCAUGGGAAUAGGCACCAGCCUUGGUGAUAACCCUAAGGAAUGCAGUUUCGGCGAUAACCCCGAAAAUGCUUGUUUUAAAUGCGACCAGCUUCAAUCUCGGUGCUCACAAUGAGAUACACUGCACCAACCCAACAAUAACAUCGGGAAGACAGGCACACCUCAAAAUUGACAAUGAGGAUCUUCAACAAAUUGCAGCAGUCCAAUCUUAGUGAAGCCUGAGCAACGUCUGCUUUAUCAGCCC